AAUUCCAUAAUCUUAUCUCAACCCUUUAUCCCCACCAAGUACUUCUAUAUUUAUAUAGAACUUAUUAUGUUAAAACUAGUAACAAGAAGAGAACCCUUCUCUUUAAUGCAAGCAUAAGACAGAAAGGACACACCACUGUCAAUUAUCAUACCUGAUCAUCUAUUAGUAACUCCACAAGAAAACUCUAAUAAGACCAAUGUUAAUCUAACACAAGCGCAUUACAAGAAAGAUUAAAAGAAAAAGAAGGAACUCGGCAAAUAAUAACCCCGCCUGUUUACCAAAAACAUCGCCUCUUGAUCAACUAUAAGAGGUCCAGCCUGCCCAGUGACCCAGUUCAACGGCCGCGGUAUCCUAACCGUGCGAAGGUAGCGUAAUCACUUGUUCCUUAAAUAGGGACUUGUAUGAAUGGCAUCACGAGGGUUAUACUGUCUCCUUUUUUCAAUCAGUGAAACUGAUCUCCCCGUGAAGAAGCGGGGAUAAUAAUAUAAGACGAGAAGACCCUAUGGAGCUUUAAGCAAGUUUACAUUUGUUACCAAUUCACCCAAGUAUAUCACAUAGAGUAUAACAUUCUGAUAAAUAGCUUUCGAUUGGGGUGAUCGCGGAGUAAAAAAUAACCUCCACGACGAACGGGCUAACCCCCUGAGCCAAAAACUACAACUUUAAGCACUAAAAAAA
rnacentral:rRNA from 1 species